AGUCUCGCCAACCGUGGCAUCAAGUGGACGCCGGCGGGAUGGUACAUCGUAGCAAUAAAACAUCACCAGCUUUCCACUCGCUCUACUUCUGAACAUUCGACCAGUAAUGAAGUCGCUCGUAGUAGUGGUUGUGGCCGGGCUGUGUGUCCUCUCACUACGGGGGGGCAGGACGAACGGCCAAGAAUUGCAAUGCAGCAAAGAGAUUUCGGCCCAGUGCCCUGUCAAUGACCCGACCCCUCCGGUAUACAUCGCGGACCCCGACAACUGUGCGAACUACUGCGAGUGUUCCGGAGGCAGCGCCUGGAGCUUCCACUGUGAUGCCAAUUUAAUGUAUAAUGACAUAAAGCACGUUUGUGACUGGCCAAAUAAUGUGGACUGUGGCAGCAGGCCUACAGUUUAGUACUGCUGACGAAGGAGCGAUUGGACCUGAUGUUUCAACAGCUACACCAUGGCUUCAGUUGAUGGCUGACAUUUGUGUGAUUGAUAAUGAAGAAUUUUCAUGACAUUGAGAAUGAUGCAUCUAUCCAAUUUUCUUUUAUUUCUUUAUAUCUUGUAUUUCAUUUCCUGUAGAGUAAAUCUUGUAUUUUGCCGGACACAUAAAACUUUGCAUCACUUUUCCAAGACCAAAUUAAGCUUAACUGAACCUCCACGUCUCCUCUUUAUGCUUAGAGUUAAAUUUUGAAGUUUCAUGUAAAUGAUAUUUUAGACAAUAGAAGACUGAAAUAAAUAUAUGAAUCAG